CACGUAAUUAGCCGUGACUUCCUCGCCGGGUACCAUCACUCAGAAAGCUUUCCACUCUUUCUGCCUUUUGUCCCCGGCAACAGAGCUUUACGAUCCGAAGACCUUCCUCGCUCACGCGGCAUUGCUCGUUCAGGGUUCCCCCCAUUGACGAAAAUUCCCUACUGCUGCCUCCCGCAGGAGUCUGGGCCGUGUCUCAGUCCCAGUGUGGCCGUCCGCCCUCUCAGGCCGGCUAUGCAUCGUCGCCUUGGUGAGCCGUUACCUCUCCAACCAGCUAAUGCACCGCAGGUCCAUCUGCAUGCGGGACUCUUGUCCCCUUUUACCAAAAAGAGAUGCCUCCUCUUUGCUCAUCCGGUAUCAGCUUCCCGUUUCCAGUAAGUUCCUCCCGCUCAUGCCAGGCACGGUUCCCUAGUGUUACCUCACCCGUUCGCCACUCAUAUCCGAAGAUUAUCCGUUCGACUUGCAUGUAUUAGGCAUCGCCGCAGCGUUCAUCCUGAGCCAA
rnacentral:rRNA from 1 species